AGCAGCCGCGGUAAUUCCAGCUCCAAUAGCGUAUAUUAAAGUUGUUGCAGUUAAAAAGCUCGUAGUUGAAUUUCGGGGUCAGUAGGUUGGUCGUGCCACUGGUAUGUACUGGCUUCACUGAUUCCUCCCUCUUGUAGAACCGUAAUGCCAUUAAGUUGGUGUUGCGGGGAAACAGGACUGUUACUUUGAAAAAAUUAGAGUGUUUAAAGCAGGCUAACGCUUGAAUACAUUAGCAUGGAAUAAUGAAAUAGGACGAUCGAUCCUAUUUUGUUGGUUUCUUAGGAUUGACGUAAUGAUUAAUAGGGAUAGUUGGGGGNGCAUUAGAUUCAAUUGUCAGAGGUGAAAUUCUUGGAUU
rnacentral:rRNA from 1 species